GUGAUCGCUUUGGCAACACAUAUACUAAAUUGGAAUGAUACAAAGAAAAUUAGUAUGGCCCCUGAGAAAGGAUGAUAUGCAAAUUUGUGAAGCAUUCCAUAUUUUU